GAGUGGCACAAGCAAAUAAUUAAAACUUUUAACAACGGAUCUCUUGGUUCUGGCAUCGAUGAAGAACGCACCGAAAUGCGAUAAGUAAUGUGAAUUGCAGAAUUCAGUGAAUCAUCUAAUCUUUGAACGCACAUUGCGCCCGCCAGCAUUCUGGCGGGCAUGCCUGUUCGAGCGUCAUU
rnacentral:rRNA from 1 species